GAUCAUGGCUCAGGAUGAACGCUAGCGAAAUGCCUAACACAUGCAAGUCGAACGGAUCUUGCGUCGUAGCAAUACGUAGUAAGAUUAGUGGCAAACGAGCGAGUAACGCGUGCUUAACUUGCCCCGAAGAUUGGUAUAACUACAGAGAUGUAGCUAAUUCCCAAUAUGCUCACGAUGGUGAAAUUCCAAUGUGAGGAAAGAUUUAUCGCUUCGGGAGAGUGGUGCGU
rnacentral:rRNA from 1 species